ensembl:ncRNA C09B8.17 ncRNA
UCCAUUCAAGAUAGUUCUGACUGAAACACACAUGUGCUAGCCCCGACCAGACUUUUGCGCUAAUGUCGAGAAUGUGUUUGGCAUAAGAAGAGUGGAGCCGGCCUAUUCAAAUUUUCGAGCAAAGUUCAGAAAGUUGCAUGUUGACGCGACAAGGG